GAGAGAGACAAAGAAGGAGGUGGUCGAGGGAAUCUGAGAAGGCGCACAAGGUUUGUGUCCAAUACAGUCCACACCUUGCGCUACUCAGGUCUGCUCGUGCCCUCCCAUGAUAUCAGCUCUCCUG
rnacentral:precursor_RNA from 8 species